rnacentral:rRNA from 1 species
UACGGAGGGAGCUAGCGUUGUUCGGAAUUACUGGGCGUAAAGCGCACGUAGGCGGCUUUGUAAGUUAGAGGUGAAAGCCCGGAGCUCAACUCCGGAACUGCCUUUAAGACUGCAUCGCUAGAAUCAUGGAGAGGUGAGUGGAAUUCCGAGUGUAGAGGUGAAAUUCGUAGAUAUUCGGAAGAACACCAGUGGCGAAGGCGACUCACUGGACAUGUAUUGACGCUGAGGUGCGAAAGCGUGGGGAGCAAACAGG